rnacentral:sRNA from 1 species
UUUUGUUUUUUUUUAUCGCAAAAACAUCAAAUAAUUAAAUUUGUUCGAAAAAGUUAGUUUCGUGGGCCAACUACUCCGAAACGAGAGGGUUUAUAUGGGAAAAAAGUACACCUCGUACUCUUGCACUCUUUGCGAGGCAGACAACACGGACAUUCAUAGUGCGUGGAAUAUGAGAUAAAGAAAACCGACCAAAACUAGCUUUAAAUCUAGCAAAAUCUUUUCCACCGGCCAAUCUUUACUUUCAUCAAGGAUCUUAAGUAAGCUUAAGCAAUCGGUUUCAAAAUGUAUAGAUUGGAUACUUUGUUGUAAAGUGCACUCCAUUGUCCAAAGAAGAGCUCCGAGUUCUGCGUAGAGGGCAUUGCGAUAACAAUUCU